rnacentral:rRNA from 1 species
GACGAACGCUGGCGGCGUGCUUAACACAUGCAAGUCGAACGGAAAGGCCCUGCUUUUGUGGGGUGCUCGAGUGGCGAACGGGUGAGUAACACGUGAGUAACCUGCCCCUGACUUUGGGAUAACUUCAGGAAACUGGGGCUAAUACCGGAUAGGAGCUCCUGCUGCAUGGUGGGGGUUGGAAAGUUUCGGCGGUUGGGGAUGGACUAGUGGCUUAUCAGCUUGUUGGUGGGGUAGUGGCUUACCAAGGCUUUGACGGGUAGCCGGCCUGAGAGGGUGACCGGCCACAUUGGGACUGAGAUACGGCCCAGACUCCUACGGGAGGCAGCGGUGGGGAGUCUUGCACAAUGGGCGGGAGCCUGAUGCAGCAACGCCGCGUGCGGGAUGACGGCCUUCGGGUUGUAAACCGCUUUCGCCUGUGACGAAGCGUGAGUGACGGUAAUGGGUAAAGAAGCACCGGCUAACUACGUG